rnacentral:rRNA from 1 species
GGGAAUAUUGCACGAAUGGGCGCAAGCCUGAUGCAGCAACGCCGCGUGCGCGACGAAGGCCUUCGGGUCGUAAAGCGCUUUUCGGGGAGAUGAGGAAGGACAGUAUCCCCGGAAGAAGUCUCGGCUAACUACGUGCCAGCAGCCGCGGUAAAACGUAGGAGGCGAGCGUUAUCCGAAUUUACUGGGCGUAAAGGGUGUGCAGGCGGACCGAUAAGUUGGGUGUGUAAUCUCCCGGCUCAACUGGGAGAGGUCGCUCAAGACUGUCGGACUGGAGGGCAGUAGAGGGAGGUGGAAUUCCCGGUGUAGUGGUGAAAUGCGUAGAGAUCGGGAGGAACACCAGUGGCGAAAGCGGCCUCCUGGACUGCACCUGACGCUGAGACACGAAAGCUAGGGGAGCGAACGGGAUUAGAAACCCCGGUAGUCCUAGCCGUAAACGAUGUGGACUGGGUGUCGGUGGGGUAAAAGCCAUCGGUGCCGAAGCCAACGCGCUAAGUCCACCGCCUGGGGACUACGGCCGCAAGGUUA